AUGGAUGGCCUCGACCUCCGUCGUCCCGCAUCAAGCUCCGGCCUUCUCCUCCUCCGCUCGGCCUCAUCUCCUCGGCCCCACCGCCGACCAGACCCGCGGUUGUCCUGCGCCGCCUUGUCUUCUUCGUCCGUACCUCACCAUCGGAAUCCUGCUUCAAGCAGCGCCGACGCCCUGCUCCACGUUCCGCUCAGAAACGAGCACAUGAGCGCAGCCCCUGCGUCUCUGGCCGUUCCCAACCUCUGCCGCCUGGUGGCGUUAAGGAGCAGCGUCGCCCUUGCCGGAGUACGCGCCAAGUUCACCGUCGUCACGCCGAGUCCGUUGCCAGCCGUCGUCGUUGCCUCUACUUCGCGCCCCCAUGUUGCCGCUGUCGCGCCCUGUUCCGUCUGA
rnacentral:rRNA from 1 species